rnacentral:rRNA from 1 species
UAAGGAAUAUUGGUCAAUGGAGGCAACUCUGAACCAGCCAUGCCGCGUGCAGGAAGACUGCCCUAUGGGUUGUAAACUGCUUUUAUGCCAGAAUAAACCUUGAUUCGUGAAUCAAGCUGAAUGUAUGGUAAGAAUAAGGAUCGGCUAACUCCGUGCCAGCAGCCGCGGUAAUACGGAGGAUCCAAGCGUUAUCCGGAUUUAUUGGGUUUAAAGGGAGCGUAGGCGGCCUUUUAAGUCAGAGGUGAAAACUUGCAGCUCAACUGUAAGCGUGCCUUUGAUACUGAAGGGCUUGAAUAAACUUGAGGUAGGCGGAAUGUGACAAGUAGCGGUGAAAUGCAUAGAUAUGUCACAGAACACCAAUUGCGAAGGCAGCUUACUAAGGUUUAAUGACGC